rnacentral:rRNA from 1 species
AUUGAACGCUGGCGGCAUGCUUUACACAUGCAAGUCGAACGGCAGCGCGGGCUUCGGCCUGGCGGCGAGUGGCGAACGGGUGAGUAAUACAUCGGAACGUGCCCAGUAGUGGGGGAUAGCUCGGCGAAAGCCGGAUUAAUACCGCAUACGACCUGAGGGAGAAAGCGGGGGAUCUUCGGACCUCGCGCUAUUGGAGUGGCCGAUGGCAGAUUAGCUAGUUGGUGGGGUAAAGGCCUACCAAGGCGACGAUCUGUAGCUGGUCUGAGAGGAUGACCAGCCACACUGGGACUGAGACACGGCCCAGACUCCUACGGGAGGCAGCAGUGGGGAAUUUUGGACAAUGGGCGCAAGCCUGAUCCAGCAAUGCCGCGUGUGUGAUGAAGGCCUUCGGGUUGUAAAGCACUUUUGGCGGGAACGAAAAGGACUGUGCCAAUACCGCGGUUCGAUGACGGUACCCGAAGAAUAAGCACCGGCUAACUACGUG